rnacentral:tmRNA from 1 species
AUGCUUGUAAGGACGUAGUUGGUAUGCCUUACAAAAAGAUUGAACCAACUGGAGCACCAAACGCCUGUUACUAAGUGUGCGGUACUUGAGAUGUAAUUAGUAACUGAGCUUGGAGACACCUGCCUAGGAUUUGCUUUGGACCGGAGUUCGAUUCUCCGCACCUCCACCA